GCGAGUGUGGCGAAAUUGGCAGACGCACCAGAUUUAGGUUCUGGCGGGAAACCAUGCAGGUUCAAGUCCUGUCACUCGCA
rnacentral:tRNA from 1 species